CUACGGGACGCUCCAGUGGGGAAUAUUGGACAAUGGGCGAAAGCCUGAUCCAGCAAUGCCGCGUGAGUGAUGAAGGCCUUAGGGUUGUAAAGCUCUUUUACCCGGGAUGAUAAUGACAGUACCGGGAGAAUAAGCUCCGGCUAACUCCGUGCCAGCAGCCGCGGUAAUACGGAGGGAGCUAGCGUUGUUCGGAAUUACUGGGCGUAAAGCGCGCGUAGGCGGUUUUUUAAGUCAGAGGUGAAAGCCCGGUGCUCAACACUGGAACUGCCUUUGAAACUGGAAAACUUGAAUCUUGGAGAGGUCAGUGGAAUUCCGAGUGUAGAGGUGAAAUUCGUAGAUAUUCGGAAGAACACCAGUGGCGAAGGCGACUGACUGGACAAGUAUUGACGCUGAGGUGCGAAAGCGUGGGGAGCAAACAGGAUUAGAUACCCGGGUAGUC
rnacentral:rRNA from 1 species